UUUUCAGUUUCUGUGGAAAGGCCUUUCAUCAACAGAACUACAAAAUUAGGAGACAUUCUGCAGGGAAAUAAAUUCCUUUCAUGUUUUAAGUACUAGAGUGAUUUACAGCUCUCCACUGAGAUGAAGGUAUCAACAGAUUUCUGGACAACCACUGCUAUUUUAGUUGUACUGCAGCUAAAUUAUGUUUGAUGACGAGACAUUGAGCUUGCUCAUGAAGGGCUGUUUCCAUGACAUGUUCACUUGACAUCAUUCCAAAAAACUCACUCGGAAUUAAGCCAGAAGCAGAAAUCUCUUAACCUAGUCGUCACCAGGCAACAAGGAGUCAUUCUAAUAAUGGCAGGACAUAAAACCAUUUGGGAAAUGAAAUCUUGGGCUCCAUUCCUAGACAAAGGCUACAGACCUGGCUGGAGUCUUAAACACUGUUCAUGUGAAGGAAGUGUCUCUAAAGAAAUUAGCAAAUUUACAGAUCUUGAAUACCUUUUAUUUCACUGGCAGAGACCCAUUUCUAACAUUCAUUAUACUAAUUCAACAAACUAUUAAUAUCACUUAUUAUGCUAACUAUCAAAGCAUCUGGUUUCCAUUAGGGUAAUAAUUUAAUAUGGAUUAAGACCUUUCUAGUAAAAUGCUAACUCAUCACCCCUGGGUACAGGUUCUUGAUUAGAAUACUACCUCAAGUUGUAAUUUUAACCAACUAACUCACAUAUGGCCACUUUUUAAUGCUGAAGUACUUAAAUGCCAAUGUUUGUCACACUUAUCCAAUUAAUAUAAUCUAUUUAGAAGGCAAUUGGGAAUAAGUACUAAGUUUUUUCUUUUACAUAUUUUAUAUAUGAAAUUAGCUUGGGUCUUUAUGUUGAAAUUGAGAAAUGCAUAAAUAAGUCUAAGUUCAGUGAGGAGUGAAUGUUACCUAUAUUGUGUCGUAUGAAAUGUGGCAUUGUGUGAAAAAAAAAAUUCUAGGAAAUUAUUGAAGCCAGGAAAGCAGAUUCUUCACAAUUCAGGGCAGAAGAAUUUUUAUGUUAUUUGUUAGGCUGUGAAAGAAGUAGUAGUUCAUGAAAUAAUUAGUUGAAGUGGUGAUAUAUUCAGUGUGAUUAGGAGAGUUUUAUUUUAUUUAACAGUUCCCAGGACUGCCUAAUAGAAGAAAAAUAUAAUUACAGAGUAGGGGCUAGGGAGCAGUUCUCAAGCCCUAUUUGGAGAAUUUUCUUAAAAGACUCAUUUAUCAUAGAAUAGAGGUGAUCCAAGGAAUAAAUUAGUUUUGUUCCAUUACAUUCACUUUGAGGAAAUGGGAAUAUAUUGAGGCCUAUUGAUAUCAGUAGACUGAGCAUAAGGUUGCAAAAAUUUUAAAGAUGACCUAUGUCAGAUCCUCCAUAUAACAGGAAAAUUAUAAGUCCCCGAACAAGAAUAUGAUCAUCCAACCAGAGUUUAAUAGAAGCGGUGGGUGGAAAUCAAAUCUACCUACUUUUUGUCUAGUGAAAAUUCUAUAGUAAAAAAAACUAAUUAUUGGCAUUUUUCUGGCACCAAUGAUGAAGGUGUCUAACCAGGCUAAGAUAAAAAAGUCAAGUCUUACUGAAGGAAGGACUAUGAGGAGAAAAAUAAUGAAAUCCCAGCUCAGAGAAUAAAGAGAUGGAAGAAUUAAGCAGCCAGUGGAAUGUUAAGUCUAAGAAUCAGAGAGAAGUCAGACACCUGAGUCCAGCUGCUCUAAGCAGAAUGAGAUAUAGAAAUGAUCUAUAAAUGAUCUUUCUACAGAAUAAAGGGAAAAGUCCAACAGGGAAAUGGUGAUCAGAUUUUUAGGUGUUAAAACCACAUUAAGGGCGGCCCGGGUGGCUCAGCAGUUUAGCGCCGCCUUCCGCCCAGGGUGUGAUCCUGGAGAUCUGGGAUCGAGCCCCAUGUUGGGCUCCCGGCAUGAAGCCUGCUUCUC